UUGCCGUCUAGAAAAUGAGAAAAAAGGGCCCCCCUCUAUCUCCGGGAGUCUACUGGGGAGAUCUUUAUUCUGAUUCUUGUUAGAAUUGUUUAUCACUGUGACAGAGCAGGCCGGGUGGAGAUAAAGGCAGUGCUCCAUCACAGCGUUGACAGUGGUAGGACACGCGCUGGAAUGAAAGGAGCCAGGGAAAUAUUAUUAAUAGAUGCUGACUUGAUUUGCCUGGAUUGCACGUCAAGAAGUGGGGGCCAGGGCUUGAUUGCAGCCCUGUGAAGUUCCGUCCAAAAAGGAAGCUAUUUUUCAUUAAGUGAUAGAAGUCUCCCCUCUAACUGUCUCCUCCUUUUCUUCUGCUGCUCUCUCCUCAUGCGCUGCUUUCCAAGGAGCUGAUAACUUAUGCAGUUUAUUCCAAGCAUGCUAAUUUGUGUCAAUGCAGCAGAGACGAAGAGGAGAGGAUGGAGGGAUGCAGCGGGAUAAAAAAAAAAGUGGGACUUCUCACACUCUUCACAACAUUGUCUUACGUGUUGGUAUGAUAGCAUUUUUUUGGUAAAACGGUAGCCUCCCGCCGUUCACAAUUGGCCUAUCGGCGCCAUCUAUACAAGUGUGCGGAGCUGCAGCGCCCACAGCCCCGACGCUGAGACACCUGCACGACUCCCCCAUUCCUCCCCCUCUCUUGCAGCAACAGAUAAAAAAGAAGUAUAUAAAAUGUGAUUACACAGGCAGCAUGUUCACAGGCACUGAUACGCCGGGGCACACUUUAUUUUUAGAGUGUUGCAUUACUAAUGGAUAUACAGGAAGAUGAGGAUUUACACCCGCCCACAUACAAUGCAGGCAGAUAUGAGCAAGCAGAGUCAAUGCAUCACAUUUAUGUGCAAAGCAUCCCCCCCCCCCAUCCCCCCCCUUCUCUACCACUGAAAAAAAGAAGCAAAGAAAAGAAAGAAAUUGAUUCACAGACGGGGGAAAUGCAGCUUUUAUGUGUCGUGUACAAACUUGUGAGGUGGAAUUUAGGAGGCGCUCGUGUUGGUGUUCUCUGGUUAAGACGGCAGCUAUGAGAAUACACACACCUUUAACCUGCAUCUGCUGGACAUCGAGGUGCAGAGUGUGUGUGUGUGUGUGUGUGUGUGUGUGUGUGUGUGUGUGUGUGUGUGUAGCCGAGACAGAUGGAGCAGCCUGAAGCACGGCAGAUGUGAUAGAAAAGCUUGUGUGGUUGAAAUUGAGGAAGAGAAAACUGCAGGUCAGAAUGUUCUGUAUUUACUUUUGGUGCACUAAUAAAUAAUAGUAGACGGCACACAAUAAGUCUCUCUGUCUGUAUGUGUGUGCACGCAGGUGAGUGGGAUUCCAUUUAUCCCAUUAAAUCUAAACUAAUUCACUAAAAGCUCGAGUGGGCUUGUUCUGUUAACCGGGGUCAACAGUUUCAAAUGAGCUAUUAAACGACUGCUGGAAGUGACAAAUCUCAGAGUGUCAUUCGAGAGCCUCUUUAGGUGUGAUUUCCCCCCUUAAUAACAUCUCCAGAUAUGUGAGAAUACUAUUAAUUGUGCACUCGGUGGUGCUGCGUGCCACGCCCUGCGUUCCCGAGGAGCUUGACUUAUUUGCUCCUCUCGAUGCUCUGAAGUAGGUGGCGACUUACACUCCCAGGAACAAUGGGAGAAUAUUCAUCAAACGUCUCAUUUGAUUUUUCCUGCCAUCGUUCUUUUUCUUCCUCUCUCUCUCUCUCUUCCCCUCCUUUCUCGGAUUGCUCGCUCUUAAUAUAUGUCUCGCUAAAUUGCUGCCGACAUAUGUGCGUAUUUGGUUUUCUGUGAAAUAUUUGAUUGCUGCUUCCAUUGUCUGUGACAGUUUGUGUUAAGGCGUCGUGGCAUGUAGGAUCUUUCUCUCUCAGUGGUGAGGAGAUAGAACAAUUGGACUUUGCUUUAAGAAAAAUGGGACAAACCAGAGGAAGAAAUGUGAAAAACACGAGCAGAGUGGCUUUUUAUUGUCCUUAAACGGUGAGUAACAACGCUGUGUGUUGUGCUGCAGCAACGAGAACAGUUGUUAAUCUGCCGUGCAGUCAGAUGCUGCAGCAAUGCGUGUGCGUUAUAACACGUUUCUGUCUCACAAGAGUUUCUGCUCUUAGAUCAACACCCCCCACCCCCCCAAAAAAAACCUGCAGCCACUGUCGGCAUAUUGCUGAUUGUUUUCUGUUUGGGGCUCAUGGGAAUCUAAAGUCUGAUGAGACAACGUGUUUUGCUGCCAUUGCUGCAAAAGCUCAUGUUUUAUUUUUAAAUGGCUGAAUUGAAUUGACUGUUUCUAACAUCUGGUUAUUUGUCGGCUGUAUUUAUUAUCCCUUGAUGAUCAACAGUGAAACGUGAGUGUAAAUCUACGGGUGAGGACGGAGCACAUCGACAGAAGGAAGAAGCAGCAGUCUGAACACAAAUGGUUUUCAUCUCACCUCAUCGGCCCUCCACGGGAAAUCUGUUUUUUCGUAACAGAAGUGGGAGUGGGAAUGUUUGUGUGACAUUUUGUUCUUGUUUGAAAAUUAAAUAAAAUAAAUGAUGUAAAAAACAA